CCUAUUGAGCCGCUUAGGGACGAGGCUGCGAGUGCAUUAGUCAAUGGGCAUCACAAAGAGGUAAAUUUGUGAUUUCAUUUUAUAUACAGAUUUUCAUUAAUUUGUUAGUUUGAUAAUCUAGAAGAAUAAAACUUGUAUAAUUUUAUUUUCUAUUAUAUUGAUUUGUAAUUUCGUAUAGGGGUGGAAAUUUAUGAUUUCAUUUAGUGAUUCAGAAGUUUUUUACUUUGAAAAUUCAAAAGAAUAUAAAAUGGAUAAGAAAGGGUAGUGACUCUUGUAUUUGCCAGUUAUAUAUUGUUUUCUUGGUCUCAAUAUAAUCUCAUAUCAUGAAGUAAUUGAAAAAAAUAAGCAUGGCAUUAGUUUUCAACGUAACCUUGUGCCAUAACUUAUUUUUUAUUCAUCCAUCGGCACUGCAUAUCGCCAACAUGUACACUAUUUACACAUAAAUAUAUAUUAGAUCACUCAUAUAUAGUUCACCCCUCUUACGCACUCAGUAUCUAGAGCUUGUGCCAUAGUUGACUAUAAAUCUAUAGCCCUCUUUCCUUCUCUCUUUUUUACUCUCUCCUCCAAUUAAGUAGAGCUCGCUUACAU
rnacentral:lncRNA from 1 species